AUUGAACGCUGGCGGCAGGCCUAACACAUGCAAGUCGAACGAGUGGCGGACGGGUGAGUAAUGUCUGGGAAACUGCCUGAUGGAGGGGGAUAACUACUGGAAACGGUAGCUAAUACCGCAUACCAUCGGAUGUGCCCAGAUGGGAUUAGCUAGUAGGUGGGGUAAAGGCUCACCAAGGCGACGAUCCCUAGCUGGUCUGAGAGGAUGACCAGCCACACUGGAACGGAGACACGGUCCAGACUCCUACGGGAGGCAGCAGUGGGGAAUAUUCCACAAUGGGCGAAAGCCUGAUGCAGCCACGCCGCGUGUAUGAAGAAGGCUUUCGGGUUGUAAAGUUCUUUUGGUGGGGAGGCGUUAUCUGCAGAAGAAGCACCGGCUAACUCCGUGCCAGCAGCCGCGGUAAUAC
rnacentral:rRNA from 1 species